GCAAAUAUUUAAUUUAGCACCCCUUAUAUAAAUUUAUGUUCCAUACAUUACUGUAAUUCAAUUGAAAAAGCUUCUGAUCUAGGCGAAAAGAUUUGUGGGUUGUUGUUAUCUAUUACUUUCUGUUUCAAAAAUAAAGCAGCUUUGGUUUUAAUCCAUACUUGAUAUGCCAUAGGUAUUUUUAUUGUUAUUUUAUUUCUUUUAAAAUCAUUCCCCCUGGCACUCCUAAUUGGAGCACUUUCCUGUGAAACCUGGAUACCUAAUCCUUGGUGAGGAUGAAACCAACUACAUUGGAAACUAAUUGCUCUGCUAAAUGGGAGUAUGGUUUCAAUAUUUUUGUUACAGUUAGCACUAUAUUUUGUUUCUUCUUUUUUCUCUCUCCCUGUUUUCACCUACACUACCAAAGAAACAGUGACUAAGAGAUAUCCCUUAGGUGGAAAUUGUGCCGCCAUAUGCCUGAUACUUUGAGAUCAGUAUGAAGUUCCUACAUUGUGAGUUUAGUUCUUUUUAUUUUAAGAUUACAUCUCUAUACUAAUCACAAUACACUGUUAGAUUAUCCUUUUGUCAUU